AUGAACGCUGGCGGCGUGCCUAAUACAUGCAAGUCGAGCGAACAGACGAGGAGCUUGCUCCUCUGACGUUAGCGGCGGACGGGUGAGUAACACGUGGAUAACCUACCUAUAAGACUGGGAUAACUUCGGGAAACCGGAGCUAAUACCGGAUAAUAUAUUGAACCGCAUGGUUCAAUAGUGAAAGACGGUUUUGCUGUGACUUAUAGAUGGAUCCGCGCCGCAUUAGCUAGUUGGUAAGGUAACGGCUUACCAAGGCAACGAUGCGUAGCCGACCUGAGAGGGUGAUCGGCCACACUGGAACUGAGACACGGUCCAGACUCCUACGGGAGGCAGCAGUAGGAAAUCUUCCGCAAUGGGCGAAAGCCUGACGGAGCAACGCCGCGUGAGUGAUGAAGGUCUUCGGAUCGUAAAACUCUGUUAUUAGGGAAGAACAAAUGUGUAAGUAACUAUGCACGUCUUGACGGUACCUAAUCAGAAAGCCACGGCUAACUACGUG
rnacentral:rRNA from 1 species